rnacentral:lncRNA from 1 species
CUAUGAAGACCAACCUGACUUUUUUUUUUGGAUGAUGUUUAUGCAAAGUUCAUGCAGGUUUGUUACAUAAUUUAGUAGGUAUUUGUGUCAGCUAAAGGUGCAACCAAAGCAGGUUUAGUGGUAGUUCGCUUGUGUUAGCCCAUGCUGCUAAGCUCCGAUUUCUGAUUUAGAGUUGAGUUUGUGUUUAUAAGAAGCUAUUGCAGUGUGAUGGUGAACAGCC